rnacentral:sRNA from 1 species
GGGAGAGAUAAUGCAUGUGAGAAAACUUCAUAUAUGUUUCUACGAAAGGAACUUCCUGUGCGGCUGGCUAACACAAUGAGAGAAGUUAAUCUUCUGCCGGAUAAUUUACUUAACCGCCCUUCAGUGGGAUUGGUUCAGAGUUGGUAUAUGCAGAGUUUUCUUGAACUUUUAGAAUAUGAAAAUAAGAGCCCUGAGGAUCCACAGGUCUUGGAUAAGUAAGUAUGGUACCACUUAGCUGAAAGUAAAAAUAUCUAGGUAAGAAAGAUUUUGGUAAAUGUAAUUCAAGUCAUUAAGACUCAAGGAGUAUGAAUGUGGACAAAAGCGUUCAUUUUCUUAAUGAGUAGUGACUCAACAUUGAGUUUUUUUUUAAAUUCGAGCUAAGAAUGUAACACAA